rnacentral:rRNA from 1 species
UACAGAGGAUGCAAGCGUUAUCCGGAAUGAUUGGGCGUAAAGCGUCUGUAGGUGGCUUUUUAAGUCCGCCGUCAAAUCCCAGGGCUCAACUCUGGACAGGCGGUGGAAACUACCAAGCUGGAGUACGGUAGGGGCAGAGGGAAUUUCCGGUGGAGCGGUGAAAUGCGUAGAGAUCGGAAAGAACACCAACGGCGAAAGCACUCUACUGGGCCGACACUGACACUGAGGUACGAAAGCGUGGGGAGCGAACAGG